rnacentral:lncRNA from 1 species
GCUUACAAAAGAUAAACGUUGCUAAAAGCGGAAAUAGCUGAUUUUUGCAGAAGACCACAUUUCUUGUGGUCAAGCAUGUCUUAUUUUCCAUGAUACUUUUCUCGGAAGCAUCAGGUCAACGUUACUUUGCGGAUGCGUCUGUUGAUUCAAAAGCAGAAGUGAUAAAUCAAAAAUAACCUGUGGUUUGUCUAGUUUUUAGCUCUUGUGUAAAUCUUAAGAAAGAGAAUAUAAUAUCAGAAAUUAUAGAUGAGAAUCAUUAACCCCUUCCCUUCAUUCCCCUCUUUGAGCAAGACCUUGCUCAUACCCCAUUUAAGGAGUCUUGGUCAGACAACCAGCCAUCUGCCAUGGUAUAUUCAGGAUUGCUAGUCAAUCCUGCAGGUCUUUCAUUAUGUCUUCGGCCACUAUUCCCAUAGCAUAGGACUAGUCAUCUGACCAGUACCACAAACUUAUAGAUCUGUAUCAGCAUGUUCACCAUUGCUUCGGUUAUGUGUAUACAUUUGGAGAUACUCAUCAUAGCAAGCUGGGGAUUUUACAGGAACAGUGUUGCAUGUAUGUUUGUAAAUGCAGAAUACAAUAGUCUUAAAAAUAGCAUAAACAAGUAGAGCAAGGACCAGAACCAUAACAAUAAUUAUUGCAAAUAGCUGACAUGUUAACCAAUUUUAAACAGACUAACCAACAUGCCAUCUGUAUCAUAAGCCCUAGGUAAAUAUGGGCAAAGUAUAUUAUUCCCAAUAGUUGUUUUCCUCCUUCAUCCACGCAAGUGGGCGCAUAUAGUCAAAGUGGGAAUAAUACCUAUCCCCCGUCCAAUGACCCGGGUCUAGGAUUACCAGUCCACCCGAUGAUCUUUGGCCAGGCAAAAACCCAGUGGCAAAAACUCAUAUUUGAGGAAAAAGAACAUUUAGGGAAAACCUGAGUGGGGGCCGCGAUCGUGUUAGACAUGUCAUCCCCUCACAGUUGACACCACUUAUGACUUAUAAUACCCGCACCUGUGAGUACAUAGCUUGGGUAUUGGGAGGAAUUGGGAAACACUUCUUACAUAUUAAUUCAUGAGAUAAAUUAUAAUCUAGCUUGAAAUUCUGACAAUAAUCACAACCAGGACCUUGCGUCCUAUAUCUUUUAACCUUUUCGCUAUUCCAAAAGUCCAGUCAAAACCAGUCAUAUCCUCACGCAGUUCCUCAAAACAUGGGAAUCCAUCCUUGGCACACUCAACAUACAUCAAAGAUACACAUAGUACAUCCAUCCCUGGGUCAGCUAACACUUCCUCUCUCUCUGGCUAACUCUACAAAAAUAAAAAUAAAAUUAGUUCAAUAGUUCAGCAUAGUCCAGAAAAAUAGAAUAAGUAUUUCACAGAGUAUAAAGAAAUCAGUUUAGACACCAGACAUUUUGUUCCAUAAAAAUGGCUAAGGGUAGCAAUAUGGCUGACAACAAGACAAUGUCAGCUUCCAUAUAGUUCUUAGUUCUUCUUUUGUUUGCUGGAUUUUCACCACAAAGCUCUGUGCAACACCCCAAUGGUUGAAAGGGUUAUUACAGAACCAGCGGCAUUAGACAGCACUGCACCUUCAGGACUUUCCAGGUUCUUGCGUGCAAAGUUUAUGUCCUCAUAAAUAAGUAUCUCAGUUUCUUCGGCCUGCAUGGAUAAUGACCAAACAGAUGUAAUUGCAAAAUACUUAUUGCAUGGUCAGCCAGAGAGAUUAGUGUGUAGUCCCAGAAAUCAGGCGGCACAAACACUCCAGGACGGUCUCUACAAACAUACAAACACAAGGAUCAAUACAACAUUAAUUAAUUAUCUAGGCUAAAACUUAAAUUAGAGAUUAAGGUUAAAUCCUUAAUUUGUGUAACAUGUACUUCUCUUAUAUUUGCUUAUAUUUUAUGCAAUCUGUCUUCUAUGAAGUUUUACAUAAUACCCCUUUGGAAUGCCUUUGUACGGAUGAGAGUAGCACUCACUCUAUAGAAAUCCUUGUUAGGAUGAAUAUUAAAACACUAACAUAUACAUAUGGGGAUAAUUCCCAAUAAAACUCUGUUCCUAAACUGGAACCUUGAUCUGAUAUUCAAAAUUAAUUACUUUAAUAAUCCCGAAUAAUUCAAUACUCUUGGAUUAACACCUAAAACUAUAUAAAAUAUUACAAACCUGAACCAUCUGUGUAUUAGGCUGGGGCUGUUGGGUGUGGGUAUAGAUUGGAAGCUGUGGUUGAUAUUGAGGAAUCUGUGGGGGUGGGUUUGGGCACUCAUUUUUUUAGUGACCCUGCUAUCCACAAUUAGAACAGUGUGUUCCACCAAUGCUGAAGUUGUUACCUCUACAAAAGUUAGACCCUUUGACCAAAUCCUCUACCUCUUCCUUUAUUCCAUAUGCAGGUCGGGAUUACCGAACUCACAUCCCCUCUUUGUGUACCACACAGAUAUAAUAUUAAUAAGCUUUUAAAGGUUUAAUGGAUAGUUAAAUUUUGUAUAUAAAGCAAGGUUGUCUAGGGGUAUAUACAUCGACAAUUAAAGCAUAGCCUUCAUAUAGGGCUUGCAAUACUGACAGUCUGUGUCAUGAGCGUAAUGCAGACAUGCGGUUAGGUACUUUUCCAUUAUUAUAAUAUAUUGAAAACACUAAGACCUUGCAAAUUUUUAAAACACAUAUUGCUACCUGUACCUGGGGCCAUGCAAGGAUGUAAUUGGGACAUAUUUCAAAUUGAGUAUCAAAAGUCUAACCACAAAACUAAAUGUUAUAAGCUUAUCAAGAAAACAAGUUUAACCCGUUAGUGCGUACUUUGGAUAGCCUCUUUGCAUAAUUUGGCUCCUACUGAGAUUAUUAUAUUAUUUAUUAAUCCUCUUCUGGAUCUGCAAAAUGCUUUCACUUUACCCAUACAAAUAUCAUACAGUAGUUUAGGAGAUUAAGAUUACCUCACUUAUAAAUUUCAGAAAUUUGUCUAAUCCCUAUUAAAAAUACAAUUUUAUUAUUAUCCCAUAAUCAAUGAGGCAUAUUAGAUGAAUCUUACUUUGACACAAACAAUGCAAUAUACUUUAAAAGUAGAGUUAACUCUGAGCUGGACAAUACUCCCCUAUUAGAACUCCUUUAUGAGGGAGAGACAUCUUGUCCAUUUAUCCUUUUUAUCAGUAAAAGAAUGACUUUCAGGAUUAAUCAGUUUGCAAAUGGAAAUGUGGAGCCACGAUUUGAACAGCAGAAGUUUGCGGGGCCCCUUUCACGUGGGAUGUAACAAGCGCUUUUCGUGCUUCAGGAGCGAUAGCAUACAAUUGUUUCAUUCUAGCCGGCUGGACAGCAUUUCACCUUUUGUAAAAACACUAAAUGCUUGCGUUAAUGAUAUGCAAAUCACUCUGCUAGUUAAACUCCUACACAAUGGACAAUAAAAUACAUGAAACACAUAACACACCAAUUCAUUUCAAACCAUAUAACUCAUACUCAGCAUCCAAUGUAAUAUUACAUGUCAUCUCACAAAACAGACAUCCCACAAAACAGACAUCUCACAAAACAGACAUCUCACAAAACAGACAUCUCACAAAACAGACGUAGUAGAAACACAUAAUGGAUACCCAGCAGAUAUGCCAAUACAGAAAACACAUUCAUGGGCACGCAACUACACACUCUGUGUCCCUCCUAGGAAACACGGGUAGACACAAUAUGAAAGCAGUCUUAAACUAACACCUCCAAAUCUCCAUUCCCAUAUAGCUAUAUCAGAACACAACACAGAGCCUCUCUUGGCCAAAACACUAGUAUUCAACAGCUAAUAAAACAGUUAUUUGCUAGGUUAUUUGACUGGCAUUUGUAUCAGUAUCACUAGACUGAGACAAACUGAUUCAAAUAUAAUUUAAAACAACACAGCAACAUAUAAAUUAAACCACUUUCCAGUUAAGCUGCACACUUCACACAUUAUCACAGUCACCAUUUACACAGAAUAAACAGUUAACAGCUGUACUCAGAACAUAUUAUUGUAAGGUAUACCAAUUUUAGUUUGUAUUAGAUUUAUUUUAGGGAUUCUUAUGUAUACUUUUUAUUUAUUUAUUUAUUUUAAUUCUUAUUAACUUCAUUACUUUAAUCUACUAUAGUAUUGUAUAUAGAGAAAGGAUCCAUUUAUAUAGCGUGCUCAUAACUCAAAUAUUUGUAUGAAACUUCCAUUAACUAAUCUGAGAUGAUACUGCAUCAACUUAAAUUUUAUAGAAAUUGAGCAAACAUCUGGACCAGAUUACACAGACAUGGUUUCACCAGAAUCUUACAGAACUCUCAGAGACUUAAAAAAAAAUUAUUCUAUACCAUGUUUAAAAGGCAUGGCAAACCUUAGACUGGUCAGUCUCCAAGAGCCUUAGUAAAACAGGUAGAAACCUUUGUCCAUGAUCUCUGAUCCAGGCUAUAUACCAUAAUUUAAAAUAACACAUAAUGUGAGACAUAGAAGACAUAAAACAUAUGCAGUAGUUAUUACACUGGAUCAUUUAAAACAUCUGUCGCAAUAAAAAGGUUAGCUUACAGCACAAAAUGAAGCAUGUGUUGGACCGCUGAAAAUGUAAAUGUUGCUCUUAUUUACAAACAAAAAUCAUAUUAACAGGAUGGAUCCUUUGCAACAAACACACAGGGCAGGGAAGAUGUGCUGAUUGGUGUUCUAUACAAUUAAUCCCAUCUGGGGAAUUAACUUUCAAAUACUAAUGAAGUGACUUUUGUCUCAGUUAUAAAAAUACUGAGCUCAUCAUGCAAACAAUGCAACACAUUUACACUAUCCCACUCUCAUAGAAAGUGUAGUGGGCUUAUGGUAUUAAAGUAACAAUCAUACCAGGCACACAGAUCCCAUGUGAAAUAACUUACAAUAAAACAGAGUAAUACGCUUAUACUUCUAUGUGACAUAAAGAAUAAAGCAAAAAGAGUUGAACUAUUUCAUAUCCUUACAGUCAGCACUAAUGAUUAUAAACCUUAUCUAAGCAUAAAAUACAUAUGAACAAGAAAAGUUAACUACUUCAUAUUCUUGCAUGGUAAUUUCCCAUUUCUAGGACAAAUCUUUCAAACACUUAUUCACACUCACAACCAGACUUAACUAAUGACAAUUAGAGGGUGGACAAGGUGAACCUGAAACUCUGUGUACACUAUCCUAGUAUAUUCCCUUAUAUACUAAAUUCUCUGUCUAUAUCACUUUAUAGACUUCCUUUUAUCUGUCUAAUUCUCUUAUUAGACCUUCUCUAGUUCACUUACUAGAAAUACAUAUAUCUCUCUAUCUAGUUCCCUUACUAGACUAAUUUAACGGGACCUUAUGUAAAACUGAGUCACAUAAAACACAUGUACAAAAUAACCUUUCCUAAAAUGAUGUAGACUUACAAAACCAUGGGGAUCAUAGAUUCAGGGCGUCAAGAUAGACACAAGGAAUUACUACUCACCCAAAAUGGUUUGGCUACAAUCCCACCGCUGCCACCAAGCUGAAAGGUAAAUCUGCUACUCUGGUGACUCGGUCCCUCUGGUCACUAUUCUCCAACCCUCGAUUGUCAGCUGAAUAUUCAGGGAAGAUUUUUAUGGAAGCGUAUUAACCAGACACACACUCUUUGCUUUCC